rnacentral:rRNA from 1 species
AUUGAACGCUGGCGGCAGGCUUAACACAUGCAAGUCGAGCGAGAGGCGGACGGGUGAGUAAUGUCUGGGAAACUGCCUGAUGGAGGGGGAUAACUACUGGAAACGGUAGCUAAUACCGCAUACCAUCAGAUGUGCCCAUAUGGGAGUAGCUAGUAGGUGGGGUAAUGGCUCACUUAGGCGACGAUCCCUAGCUGGUCUGAGAGGAUGACCAGCCACACUGGAACUGAGACACGGUCCAGACUCCUACGGGAGGCAGCAGUGGGGAAUCUUGGGCAAUGGACGCAAGCCUGAUGCAGCCAUGCCGCGUGUGUGAAGAAGGCCUUCGGGUUGUAAAGCACUUUCAGCGGGGAAGCGUUACUCACAGAGGAAGCACCGGCUAACUCCGUGCCAGCAGCCGCGGUAAUUC